AGCCUGAUGCAGCGACGCCGCGUGAGGGAUGACGGCCUUCGGGUUGUAAACCUCUUUCAGCAGGGAAGAAGCCACAAGUGACGGUACCUGCAGAAGAAGCGCCGGCUAACUACGUGCCAGCAGCCGCGGUAAUACGUAGGGCGCAAGCGUUGUCCGGAAUUAUUGGGCGUAAAGAGCUCGUAGGCGGUUUGUCGCGUCUGCUGUGAAAGCCCGGGGCUCAACCCCGGGUCUGCAGUGGGUACGGGCAGACUAGAGUGCAGUAGGGGAGACUGGAAUUCCUGGUGUAGCGGUGAAAUGCGCAGAUAUCAGGAGGAACACCGAUGGCGAAGGCAGGUCUCUGGGCUGUUACUGACGCUGAGGAGCGAAAGCAUGGGGAGCGAACAGGAUUAGAUACCCUGGUAGUCCAUGCCGUAAACGUUGGGCACUAGGUGUGGGGGACAUUCCACGUUCUCCGCGCCGUAGCUAACGCAUUAAGUGCCCCGCCUGG
rnacentral:rRNA from 1 species